CGAGAAAACAAAUCCUGUCCUUUAAGGUUGAUCAAAUUAUCGUGCAAUGUCAUCUAACUUCUUGAUUCGUCAGCUUGCCAAAAGACAAAACUGUAGGUAACACCAUAUAAAAACAAAAACAUUUUAUUCAAUUAUAUGUAUAACCAAACAGACAGCUGAACGCGGUUCUCGACGAAGACACCUUAUAAUUCAAAACGCAUCACUCCGGCCAACAAAACUAAUAUUAAAUGACGUGUGAUUUCACACAUAAUUAUUUCGCUUUCUCAAU
rnacentral:lncRNA from 1 species